rnacentral:lncRNA from 1 species
AUACCACCAAAAUCAGCCAAGACAAUGAGAGUUCCUAGCCCUCCACAACCACCAUACUCCAUUAAGAAAUAAGGGACUUCUAUCACCACUAGAUUAAUCCUUGAAAAAUUGAACCAUGUCAUUUUGAUGAAAGAAAUUAUAAUUACCAUAAUCAAGUUUGAACCACAUAUGUUGUAAGAGAGGGGCAACCUCAGAUGCAAAUAUCAUUCAUUUGAUUGUAGACCAAU